CUGUUUCUGAGAUAUUUGUGAAGCUCUUAUUUUGAACCUACACUAAAGUUUCGGGAGUUCAAGAUUUAAAUAUCUAAUUGACUUAUAAGACCUAAAUGGGCAAGGACAUAAAGGUAUUUGUGAGGACACCCACCUAUCGCGAGAUAGGGCUCAAAAUUAGAGUAACGGUAUUUUGGUUUCAAU
rnacentral:other from 2 species